rnacentral:rRNA from 1 species
AGCGAACGCUGGCGGCAGGCUUAACACAUGCAAGUCGAACGGGCGUAGCAAUACGUCAGUGGCAGACGGGUGAGUAACACGUGGGAACGUACCUUUUGGUUCGGAACAACUGAGGGAAACUUCAGCUAAUACCGGAUAAGCCCUUACGGGGAAAGAUUUAUCGCCGAAAGAUCGGCCCGCGUCUGAUUAGCUAGUUGGUGGGGUAAGAGCCCACCAAGGCGACGAUCAGUAGCUGGUCUGAGAGGAUGAUCAGCCACAUUGGGACUGAGACACGGCCCAAACUCCUACGGGAGGCAGCAGUGGGGAAUAUUGGACAAUGGGCGAAAGCCUGAUCCAGCCAUGCCGCGUGAGUGAUGAAGGCCCUAGGAUUGUAAAGCUCUUUUAACGGGGAAGAUAAUGACGGUACCCGUAGAAUAAGCCCCGGCUAACUUCGUGCCAGCAGCCGCGGUAAU